rnacentral:tRNA from 1 species
GCCCGGGUGGCGGAAUUGGCAGACGCGCAUGAUUCAGGUUCAUGUGCCCUCACGGGCUUGCAGGUUCGACCCCUGUCCCGGGCA